rnacentral:rRNA from 1 species
UGCGGAAGGAUCAUUGUCGAGACCUCGAGAAACAAUAAAUUGACGGGAAUAUGUCAACCAAAUCUGCCGCUUCGACAGGGCGGACGAUGGUCGGGUGCGAAUGCCUCGCUCUCCUGCCUAUCUCCCCUCGUCGGGCGGAUGUCGUCGCGCCGUACUCCCGUCAAGGGAUGACGGCAGACGAUUCGAUAAACCUGGCACGAUAUGUGUCAAGGAUCUCUGCCGCUGUCGUAGCACAAGGCAUGGGUCGUUUCACGACUUUUGUUUUGCCCGCUACGAGAGCUAUCGAAAAGUCAUGUUUAUGAUGACUCUCGGCAACGGAUAUCUAGGCUCUCGCAUCGAUGAAGAACGUAGCGAAAUGCGAUACUUGGUGUGAAUUGCAGAAUCCCGUGAACCAUCGAGUUUUUGAACGCAAGUUGCGCCCGAGGCCUUUAGGCCGAGGGCACGCCUGCCUGGGCGUCAUGCCUCGUGUCACUCCGUGCAUCUCAUGUCUCCGACAUCGAGAUAGACGGAAGUGGAGAUUGGCUCACCGUGCCUCUCAUGUUGCGGUGGGCUAAAGAAUCGAUGUCAAAGUUGUUUACGGACACGACUAGUGGUGGAUGGACGAAUAUAUUGGCCGAGACCGAUGUCGUUCCUUCCUUCUUUGGCGUCCGCGGCGAUCGGCCCUUCCGGGGGAUCUGUCGCCUCUCGCGUCGCGACCCCAGGUCAGGCGGGACUACCCGCUGAGUUUAAGC